ACCACAGCAACCGGGCCGAGGCAGUUUAUUGUAUAUUCCGCGCACAGUUCCCGACUCCUCCGUCCUCAACAAGUCAAAGACACUUUUCCCCCGUUUAAUUCUGUACUAAAACCACGAAAAGAGUUAUUUUCGCCAUUGGACGCAUCUGGAAUCUCAUAGACGAGCGUCAAUCCAAAAACACCAGCCUCCUCAAUGUAAACAACAACGAUGACGAUGCCACAAAGUGUAUUGACACCAUCUGUCAGAGCUCCAGCCGGUGCCUGAGGAUGAUCUCUUCAGACCAGUGAGCAUCCCCCUGACCUGGACAGACACUUACCGCCAAGCGAAAAGCCCAAAAAGGUCCAUUAAUGACUCCACCAUGGGCAGCCCUGGAGGAUUUUGGCAGUGCUGCGCUGGCUUUAUUGACUGUUCUGACAUGCGGAGGUCUCAGGAGAGGUGCUGGGGAGAG
ensembl:lncRNA